GCAGGGAGCUGGAUGGAAAGUGGAACAGCUGGGAUAUGAACCAGCACUCCUAUAGGAUCCUGGUGUGUGCAAGGCAAGGACUUCAGCUACUUGGCUACUAUUCUGGACCCUCAAAUACAAAAUUCCAAUAUGAUUUUAAAAUGACAUCUGCUUGCUUUUCAUCUCUAUCCCUUCAUUCACACUACAGUUCUGAGGAAAUGGCCUUUUCUCAAAACUUAAGAAUCCCUUCAUUGAAAGCUUUUUCUAAGAGUUCUAAAAUGUAGAUGAAGUGCCAUUGUAUGCUUUUCCAUUGUUUCCAAUAUUUCUCUUGUAGAUUUAUACUGGAUUAUGGUUCUGUUUUUAUUUAAUUUUGUUUUUCUUUGAACAGCCACACAAAAAGGCAAGGGACUCAUAGCUUGUUCACUGUUAAGUGCUCAGUACCUUCUUCAUGGUGUAUACUUGUUUGUAAUAUGGUAAGUUUUUGAUUGCCUAACCCUGAGCCAUGUUUGCUUCUUAUAAAAACUGUUAAGGGGCAUUUGGCUCUGUGAAUAGGAUGCUUGCAUCUCAUAAUAAAAGAGAGUCUGAUUCCUG